GGCCAGGUAGCUCAGUUAGUUAGAGCAUUGUCCUGAUAUGCCAAGGUUUAAGGUUGGAUCCCUGGUCA
rnacentral:tRNA from 1 species